rnacentral:rRNA from 1 species
GUCUACGGCCAUGCUACCCUGAACAAGCCCCAUCCCGUCUGAUCUUGGAAGCUAAGCAGGGUCGGGCCUGGUUAGUACUUGGAUGGGAGACCACCUAGGAAGACCAGGUGCUAUAGGUG